rnacentral:rRNA from 1 species
CAACCUGGCGGCGAGCGGCGAACGGGUGAGUAACAUAUCGGAACGUACCCCGUCGUGGGGGAUAACACAGCGAAAGCUGUGCUAAUACCGCAUACGACCUGGAGGGUGAAAGGCGGGGGAUCGCAAGACCUCGCGCGAUGGGAGCGGCCGAUAUCGGAUUAGCUUGUUGGUGAGGUAAAGGCUCACCAAGGCGACGAUCCGUAGCUGGUCUGAGAGGACGACCAGCCACACUGGAACUGAGACACGGUCCAGACUCCUACGGGGAGGCAGCAGGUGGGGUAAUUUUGGACAAUGGGGGCAACCCUGAUCCAGCCAUUCCGCGUGAGUGAAAAAGGCCUUCGGGUUGUAAAGCUCUUUCAGCAGGAACGAAACGGUGGCCACUAAUACUGGCUACUAACGACGGUACCUGAAGAAGAAGCACCGGCUAACUACGUG